GAAGCCUGUGUCGUUCUCUGCAAGGCUGAGCCUAAACUUCUGCCACCUGCCCGGUUACUUUUUGUCAUUUCUUUUUGUGCCAUGUCUAGCAAUUAUAAUCUUCUGAAGCAAAGAUGCAUCAGUCAGUCUUUAUCUGUGUGUUGAGGGACACACACAUGGCCCUGCUUAAACAAGACACUGACAGGGAGGAAAAAUGACCAUCUUUGGUCUGUCAGGCAGACAGUGGAUAUUUUGCUAUCCUAAUCAUCGCAGUAACAAGUUUCUUUGGAGCACAUAAGUCAUGAAUUACUAUGCAGCUCCAAGAGGAAAACUUUGCCCUUUUAUUGUUUUCCAAAGAAAUGUUCUCAAUUUCUUUUCUGCCAAAUUCAUAUUACAGAUCAUACUAACAAAUUUUCCCAAGCCUUCUUGACCUCAUCCCUUUCUCAUAGUAGUAAAAGAAAUUUCACUCAUCGCUGGGAGAUGUAGAAGAUUGCUAAAUUUUGCUGAUUUAGGAACUGAGUGAAUGAAACAAGCUUACAAAAAUGUAGAUACCACAUUGCAGAAUGCAGUUAGCUCCAUUAACAAAGAAAAUGGAACUUGCGAUAUUUCUGCUGUUUCACAGUACAUUAGUAAAUGGCCUGCUAAUAUUUUAUUAGGCUGGGGGUCUGCAAGUGCUCCUCAUGUCAAGGCCAAAAUUGUGCACACGGUGCUGGGGAGUGCUAAUUUUGGGAAGAUUUUUUUUUUCCCCUCUCUUCCCCCACCAAAUCUGUGCCUGGUUUUACUGAACCAAGACAAAGUAACAGUGAUGCUUACUGCAUUGCUUUGAACCGUGUGUUUUGUUUUAAUUGGAGUUCUCAACAUUUAGUGGCACCGGUUCCUCUGCUACUAAAUCAUCUGUAGACAGCUGGGUGAGCUGCCAAGCCUCUGGCCUGAGAAAGGGUGUUUGGAUUGUCUGUUUUCUGAAUGAGCCAGGUGAGAGGAAGCCACCUCUUUACUGUACUUCUCUGCUAUUCACAAUUACAGUCUUGUGUAAUUGUCACAGGACAAUUUUGCCACUAACACCAUUUUUCCACUGGAGUUUUCUUACCAGGUGGCUGUUGGGAUAAAAGCGGGAUUCAGAUUUUGUGUUGGUUUUGCUCUGAGAUCAUUCAAGCCUUUUUUUUGAAAUGUCACAUUUCAAUUUAACAAAUUGCCAGUUCAUGCAGCUCCGAUGCCCCAGAAACCAUUUCCAAUGACAUACUAUAAAAGCAGGACUGAUAUAGAUCACUUGCCUGCAUUUCAAAGACAUACCUUUGGAUUACAGGGUUGCAGAUGAGAUUUUAAUUCUGUGGAACUCAGUGGAAAGACGUUCAUUUGCUACCAAAGGCUCCUGCUUUAGGUGGUUUUUUUAAUUCCACUCCACUUUUCUGUGAGUAAUGUAGAUACGGGGGCUGAAGCAGUUGAAUCAAUUAUUCAAUUGAAUUAAAUUACUGUAAAUGCCAAUAUUUCUGUGAAAUUAUUAUUGUGUAGGGCUACAUGAAGAUGUGUCUUUGUUAUAUACGACAGUUUUUGAUACUGCCUCCCAAAUAUAAAUUAUGGGGCUGAUUUUUAAGCCUUUAAUCACAAUCUUACUGACUCCCUACUCAGGCAAAAUGCUUCUUGCUCUCAAUAGGCAUAUUUACCUUGGCGUGACUCCAGUAUAACCCAGUACAACAGAGGUGUGCUGGGACUGGUUGGGGCUGUGGGGCUGGGAUGGCAGCAGCUGCCUGCGAGGGGCUGAGCCCCCGCUCCCCCCACAUCAUCACCCACACCUGGGAUGAGGAUCUGUUUGCACAUCUCUGCGCUCCGAACAGGUUAAACACGUACGUGUGUUACGUUAUUGAGAAACAGAGUGAUUUAGAAGGAUGUGCAUUAUUCCUCGUCUCUGUGUCAACAAUCAAAAAUGAGCUUUUGGAUUUAUUAGUUCCCAAUCUUGCACCUAUCUUAAAUCAUUACCAUAUAAUAAGGACUCUGUAUGGUGCAUUGUCAAUAAAACCUGAUAUUGAGAAGAUUACUGAUCGUCUAGUGCAAAUGGAGAGCACUGUAAAUGAUUUAGAGAAUACGUGUCAAACGUUAAAGCUAUCUAAUACCUUCUAAAGUAGGUUGAUACUCAUAAAUCUAAGAUAAAUGACCUGUAAAACCACUUAAGAAGAAAUAAUACUCAUUUAAUCAGGCUUCCAGUGGAAAGACUAGGUAGGAGAGAAAUUCAGAAGGAAUUAUGAAAUCUCUUCUAAUUCAGUACUUCGAUAGGGAAUGCAAACCCACAUUUGAUAAGCAAUUUUAGUUAGCUAAAACUAUUGUUGUAAUAGCACUAAAUUAUGGCACCACUGAAAAGAAGACCAGACCAAAGGGUUUUUAUGGUUUACUGAGCACUCAUUUUUCCAGAUUCAGCACUGGGUGUAUCAGAUGGAGAUAUAAAGGGUAUUUAUGGGAAUUAUGUUUCACUGUGUCCCAGGGACAGAGUGUUGGUUUGUCUGCUGUCAGUGUGGCUGUUCCUGCAGGUUUGUUCGAUGUGUUCCCAUGGGAGGAGAAGGUGUCAUUUAUUGGGACAAGCCUGGUUAGAACUGUAGUGAAACAAACUUGGUGUUUUCACAUAGUUGAGUGGGAACUUGUACAAACUUAGUCAAUAGAGUUUAGUGAUAUUUUCUGCACUUUGAUUCCAAAGAAAUUUUUUUCCCCCAGGUCUGUUUUAAAGGUGGCUUCAUGUGGGUGGCAGAAAAAUUAGGUCAUGAUUUUCGUUACUGGAGUUCUGGUUCUUCAGUUCUUGUGCAGACAAAACUUCCAUUCUCUUUGACAGGUUUUUAAGUCCACUUGUUAAUUCUUGUUCAUCCUUUUGGCUUUGUGACUGCUCAGACCUCAGCAUUGCUGCCAGCAUUUAUUAGAACUUGACGCAGAGCUUUUCUUGAAGCAACUGUAAUGGUAUAUUUAGCCAUGGAGAAAUGUUUCCAAAGAUCAGCGUGCUGUGACUCAUGUGACUCCACUGCUGCUCUGGUGACCCUCACAGACUUACUCAUUGUUUACAUAGUGGCAAACAAGAUCAGAUUCUGGCUUGAUGCCUUAUUUCACUUCAUCCAAUAAAUGUGCAACUUGCAAAUGCAUUUUACUUCAAUUCACAUUUUUUAAGAUAAACUGAGUAUCUAACUUCUUUCCUCUUAUUGUUAAAAAUACAGACACUUAAAUGCUGCUCUGAGUGGAACUAAUUAGUGAAUGAAAUGCAAAUACAUGUGGUCCGUAUAUAACUCAUUUGUGCUGCAAAAAUAACCAGGGGAUGACAUGGAUGUGUUUAAAAUGUAUUAUCACCUGCUUUAUUCUUGCUUGCCCCCACUGAGGGCAAAACACACAUGCAAGCAUACAUAUGCUUGUUAUGCAGCAGCUGUAGUUAGUAUAACAAUACAUCAGGUUGUAGCCGUGGUGUUUGAAUUGGCUGUUUCUGUAACAGAGGUGCAAUGUUGGUAGCAAAUUUCCAUUGUUUGUGAAUUUUGAGAUACUGAAAUCUAUUAAAAAAAAUUGCUUGUUGAUUUACUCUAUAACUGGCAUAAAGCUAGAGUCAUUUUAUUAAAAAAAAACAAACAAACAAAAAAAAACCAAAACCAGUUAAACUGAGCAUACAUUGAAGAAAGUUAAUUUCAGAAAUCUGUCAGCCUUGUGAAUAUUGCUUUUCCAUUUCCUGAGAAUACCUCAGAGGAAUUGGGUUUGCUACUCUCAGGCAGAGCAGCUGUUGCAUGUAUAUGUUGUAUGUGCAUUGUGUGCGUGGUGUAUUUGUUAUUAGUUUAAAAAAAACCAAUUCAGAGGCCACAGCUGGACUGACUUUUACCUGGUGGUUACAGGCACUGGAGUCUCUGGCUAUGGACAGAGAGCAGGGAAAAAUUUACAAACGAUUGAGAACUGGGGAAGCCUCUGAGGAAUGGAAGCUGAAGCUUUCUGGCAUGUAAAAUGGCUUGCAAAGGGCAGAAUUGCUUGGAGCUGAUCGAUUCUUAUUUUUAUGUCAGUGCUUUUUAAAACUUUUGAUUUAAGUGGUUUUUUAAGAAACACUAAGGAAUGAUAGAAAGAUAAUGAUGUCAGGUAACUAGUUAUGAGUUACAGUACAAGUAGCUAGUUAACUAGUUAUUUUAUGGUAGUUAAUUUGUCAAUGAGUCUAGAAGAUGCGAGUGGUUCAGGCCAGUUGGCAGUGGAAGGCCAUUGGUGUUCCAUUAGGUAUCCAGAGUUCGCGUUGUUGAACCCCACUGUGCAGCUAAACAAGCGACCAGGACAGUGGGGCACAUCUUGACCCAGGUCAGCUGCCAAAACUGGGUACGGCGAGGGGUACGGCAGCUGGGGACCUGUCCCCUCCUCUGCCACGUGACUUACCAAGAGACCCUUGUUCCUCACUUCUGAGCAGGCAAAUCACACAUGUACGCACACUCCUUGGUUAUAAUUAAGUUAAAAUCCUGCUAAUUUGGAAGCAUACCUAUCACGUCCUCUUUUAGGAAGGAACUAUUAUUUCUUCUUUUAUUCUUUUCUGCUUGAAUCCCAAGCUAUCAAUGGCUUUCAAAGAAAAAGGAGUUUUUCUUUAGAAAAAAGUCUAUUCAAAUUAUUCAUGAUUUAUAUCAAGAAGGGACCUUUCUUCUUUCUACUAGUAGAAAAGGGAUAGUUUGAUCUUCCCUGAAAUCAUUUGAGAACCUUAUACAUUUCUUUCCAGAACUAAAACUUUCUUACAAAGCUUUGGAUAUUCAGCAGAAGAAUAACUAUUACAUAAUUGAAGCUCAAUACAAUACCAUGGGGCUAAUAAAUGCCCUCCUGGUUCUAUAGAAAAUGUAACAAAUCAUAAUAGCACUUAUUGGGACUCGGCCAGGCACAAAUGACAAAGCUUCUUUUGAAAGAGAGUUGUGGCCAGAAAUACUCUUGGACCAAAACCGUUUUCUUAACUGUCAGGGGGACAUUUACUCCUUUUACUUUUCAGCCUAGAUUUUAUGUUGAUCCUGCACCACUGAAUAAAAUCAAGCUUGACAGAGCUGCUACUGCAGCUGUUACAGAUGUAAAUGUGAAGAAGGCCAUUUAAGAUGACUCUGUUUCCCUGAACAUGUUAUUUGGAAAGUAUUUAGAUUAUAUUAAAAAUAGCUUGAUACAUCCUUAUUGUGUGUUUUAUAAAGGAAGAAAAAGAUGCUACACUAUUAAGUGGUUUAUUAACAUUUAUGAUCACAGGUCUUUUACUUAGAAAAUAAUUGUUCUAUUGUGUGCUGCAAAGCUGCCUGCAAACAGCUGGCCGAGGGAUAUACUGCUUUGUAUUCUCCAAGGAGAAAAUAUCAAAUUCAGUUGAUUAAUCAAAGGGGACACUCUUUGAUGGAAGGGAACCUUUUCAAACUUUAUUAAAAAUAUUGAAUAAACCAUGAGCAAUCAAAGUUCAUAAUCUGAACCCUGCUCUACUUUCUUGGAUACAGCAAACCUUCAAAAUAACUCAUAAAGCAGGAGAUGAGAUGUCUUCAAUAAAAAUAAAUAAAUAAAUAAAUAGAACCCCAACCUCAGAGCAUCAUAUUCCAAAACCUCUAUCUUGAUCUGGAUCUCAGCUACACCAUUGCAGCUCCACUGAUUUUACUGGAGUCACUCUGUGUUUUCAGCGUAGAGGCUGAUAAUAAGAAUUGAGCCUUGGGCCUUUUGUCAGUGACUAAUUCAGAAACAUCCUCACUCCCUCUGUCUUUUCAUGGAGGGUUUUUCCCCUAUUCUGAAAGAAGAGAUGAGAUUGCUAUCGGUGAAGCUGCCUAGUGACUAAGGAUAAUCAAGGUGUGACCUGGAGGCUGAAUGACUGUCCCCUCUGUUCCAGGAGGAAAGCAAUCAUAUGGCCAAAUGCAGGAGGGCUGUUGGGAAUGAAGUGAAGUGAAAUGGAAAUUCCCAGAGCCAAGGAGAAAACACAACUCAGACAAGUGGGACUAGCACAUCUCUGUCUUGCAAUGGGCACUGAAAUCAUGGCCCCUACGUGACAUAUUAUGUGUAAAGGCAUCGUGCUGCUCAAGAUGAAACUCAAGUGGAUGUUAGCAAAUAAAAUGCUCAUAUUUAGCAGCAGGAGAAAGUUGCUGGAAUGCUUACAAGUAUUUUGAUGGGAAAGAAAAAAACAGUUGAGGGAAAGAAUAAUUGAAGGUAUACAGGCACAGAGUGAUGGGAAGCGAGCACGCUGAUGGUUCACAGCACAGUAGUCUGAUGCCAUUUUUAGUUAGGACACAAGGCAGAGCAAGUUUGGAAUAAGAAGCACCAAGACAGCACAGUGGAAGCUGUCCUCGGUGGCCACAGGGCCUCAGCUAUACAGACCUGAGUGAGAUCGUGGGCAAGCACUCAGCACACGUGGCUAUCUAGGGCAGCAACAACAAGAAAUGUGAAGUUUUGAUAUGGAUGUCCUCUGCAAUGUUUUUUUUUCCACAGUGGUUUUCUGUAUUGUCCUCUCUCUGACCAUGUUCCAAGCAGAGCUGGAAGGACAGAGCUGAUGGCUGUGCCUCAGUCAACACACAGGGCUGAAGCUCACAGGGGGAUUUUCACAACCACAGCAGACGAGGAGACCCCACUCUGAGAGCUUUUGGACCAGCACUCUUGCCUGAAAGACGUGUUGGAGACCUGUCAGUAAAGCCUCUGUCUCUAGAAAUGAAGACUGUCCUUGGGAUCAGAGAGCUUUGCAGUGAAGACGCUUGCCAGUCCCCAGCCAAGUUGCUGCCAUUACCUGUCUGGUUGAUGCUUCUGGAGAACUUACUUCCACACUGCUGCUGCCCUCCAGUCUGCUGAAUGUGCCAUCCUGCUGCUGUUUGCUGUUUUACAAGGUUUUCAGCACACGGGUCCUGCUCUACCAAGUUAUUACAGCCCCUGGCUUUCUGGCUGCCUGGGGCAGGGUGAAUGGGAGAUGUGCUCGCCCCUUCCCACAGAUUCCACGCUGGCUCCUGCCCCUGACAUUGGCUGCACAGGAACACUGGCUGGCAUGGGGACAUUGGCUGCCGUGGGUCAUGUCGCCAGGGAGACCUUGGCAAUGUCAAAAACAAACCCCAAACAUCACACAGAGUGCGUGAUAUUCAGAGUUAUGGUACGUGUAAGGGGAAGGUGGCGUCUCUGGGCUGCCCUGCUCUCCCGUCAGUGUUGGGGUGUUUGGGGGAAUUUGAUGGCUCUCCUCUCAGCUACCUGUGAGACUGUCCUGGGGUGGGCGCAGGGCCAGAGCCCAGGGUCCCACCUGGGCUGGGUCUGAAGGACAGAGGCGUCUUGGGACCUGCAGACCAACUGGGUGAAGUCACCUAUGUGUGACAAUGGGAGAAAUCAAGCGAGUCCCCCACGGCGUGGCGUUGGGAAUGGCUCACUCGGCAGAAGCUUCCCCGACGGGGAGUGGAAAACUCUUGCUGGCUAUUUAUAUUUUGGUGGGUUGGAGAAAGGGGCCGUGCUCACCCAUCUCAUUAGUAUUAAAAAGGCAUUGGCAACACUGUAGUCUCCACCUUUCCUUCUCCCACACUUCUCUGGGGCACCUGGUCCUGUGCCAGCCUGGUUUCAUAGGUUGCAGAGACGGGGUCUGCGGCGCGGGGCUGCACGUUCACAGGCAGCAAACGUGCACAAAGCCGGAACCCUUGCAAACUGAGGAGCAAUCGCCCUGGCCAGCAACAGCGAAAGAUGUUAAUAUUGCUGGGGAAGGUGAAAACGUAAUUGAAACCGUUUAUUUGGGGGGCUUGUGGGACUGAACAAGGUGACAGUUUCUGAGCAACAAACAUCUGUAAUUCACUUGUCCUGGUCUUACAGACUUUUAAUUUUCUCUACAAAUUUAGUUAGUUAGAGAACAUGUAAACACCAAGAACUGUACAGAGCGAUCCAUUAAACAUUAACUUACUGUAGACUUAGAAAAACUCCACUCUUACAAUAUUAAAAACAUAAGGGGAAAGAGAUGCCAGGCUAGUGAAUGAAGCCAGCUGACUGCUGAGAAGAGGCUAUGGUUUUGCUCCUUAGCUUUGCCGUUUUCAGUAAUCUGACUCACUGAGGUAUUUUUAGAUACAGUAACAACUUCCAUUGUCAAGUAAUUUUUUGUUUGAAUUUUACUCAAAUUAUGCUGUCCUCUUGCUCCCCAAAUUCCUUUCUUCAGCAAUGCAGUGGUGCCCUCCAUGCCCUGAGGAGGAAGGGGAGCUGGGGAGGACUCUGAUGAUUUGGACCACAUGGUGGAACAAAGUAGAUCUCAGCGUCAGGUUGGCAGGAUAUUUCCCUUUCUUCAAAGGUCUCCAAACCCAGCAAGUUUUUCUUUGAUAUCUUUCCAAACGGAUUUAUCAGUGUUGGGGCAUACAUUUGUUUAGAUUGUUCCUGUAGGGUGGGACUUGCAAAAGAGCAGAAAAGUGCCAAGUGCCAAAUUCUCACCAUGUUCUCCAUAAAGAUUUCCUUAGCUUCCUUUGAAAAUCCCAGCUGUGCUCCCCAUCGCUCUGCACAUCCCUGCUGGAAAGGUGCCCAUGGUGCCCUCACAAUGUGGGCACAAGGGAUAUAGGAAAGAUUGUGACAUUUCAAAAAAACAGGCGGAGGAAGAACUGGCUCUAGAUGGAGGAAAUGCAUGAAAACGUGGAGGCUGGGGAGGAAACAAAGAGGGAACCGGAGACCAAAUUCCCUAGACCCAUCUUCUUUCUUAUUAUCUUUUGUUUGAUUGUUUGCUUUUAGAUAUAUGCUUCCUCUCUGCUUACUACUUCUCUCAGGUUUUCCCCAAAGUGUCUUUUUUCAAAAAAAAGCGAGUGUACGCUGUGUGUCAAGAGCAAGGGCAGAACUUGGACCCCACAGUCAACUUCUGUUCAUGUUCUGGGCUUGAGACGCAUUGGGACAGAUGCAGGUGACCUGCUGGCACCAGGUGUUAGUCUGGUCCUCUUUGGGCUCCUAAAGACAAAGCAGAUGCUGCUGGCCUGGGCCAGAGGCCAUAGGGAAGUCAGAGGUUUGGCAACUGGCCAUUUCAUGUACUUUUAUGAAAAGCAGUAGCUAGGAGCUUGCUAAUUUAAAUGUACUACCUCAGAAGUGAGCAAGAGAUCCAUAGGGAGCUGUGUAGAAACAUGCCGGCUAGUAGCUACAGAAUGACAAAUGCACUGAUGGCCAAGCGAGGACUGCCAGAGCUGUUUGUCCUCCUGCCCUGGGGAACAGGCCUGAUGAGGGCUGUUUGGAAAGGAUGUCAGAGGAGGAAUUUUUAUUUUAUGAGUAAGGAGAUACAGAGGCUGUUUCUGAUCUGUUAUAGGUGCAUUAAUGAUUUGUGAGCUACAGCAGGGUUGGUUUGCAUGCCCUCCAGUUUGUUUGUAGACUGAGAAGAUUCUUCCAAGUGCUCUAACGUCAUAUUUGUAGUUGUGUACCUGGCUGGGGUUUUUUUAAUGGUAAGUACCUAGAGAUUGCUGAGAGCCACAACAUGACUUAAAUCUAGUUUGUCCUUACUGCUUCUUGGUUUCCAGAUAGAAUUUAAGACAUUGAUUUUGCCCCCAAGUCCCCAUGGCUUGGUCUUGGCAAAGAAAGGUGGUUCUCUUAAGGCUGGUCUUACAUCAGGAACUAACUAAGCCUCAGCUCAUUCCUUCUCAUCUCACAUGGAUCCAAGGAUUAGAUGUCAGCUCUGCAAUCCAGCGAGGUUGGGCACAGACCUGCUGUGUCAGCUGUGCCCAUUGCUGCGAGGGGGAGAAGGACAGUGGGGUGCUGGGGCAGCGGGGGCGCAGGGCCCUUGGGUCUGCAUCACUCAUGGACAGAGGGGGCAGAAGGGAAAGCCUGGGGGGAGCUCUUGGAGAGACUCCCCAGUUUAUCACCGGGACGUGGGACAGGUCCUUGGAUCUCGGCACAGGAAUUGGCUUUGGAAAGGAGCUUGGUUAGGCACUCCUGACAGUAAGGGAAAUCGGAGUUUCCCUUUGAUUUAUUUCAAACAUUCAGCUACCAAGAAUGAGAUAGGGACCUUUCUUACGUGUUUUGGAGAUUUAAUAAAACAUACAAGUCUGCAAAAGUCCUUUGUCAUGCGCAAUCAAAUCAGCAUUGCAAAUUUAUCUGAACAUGGUGCUCCGGCGUCAGCCUUCAGAUGACAUGUAAGGCAGUUGUGGUUUGAUGGUCUUCACUCAAAAUGUUGGCUAAAAUAUUUUUGUCUUUAGAUUUAUUUUUAGAGUUUAUGGUUGAAAGAUUUCAGCUCUGGGCAGUCUUUCCCUUGGCUUUUAGCAGCAACACUUGCAGUUGUGUUUCACAUAAUUAAACAGCCAACAAUACUUAAUGAAGAAAUAAAUAACAUCAAUAAAGUAGUAAAUAAUUAUAUGCAGGCAAACACCAAAGACAUUAUCCAUCAGGCAACAGCUGUGAGCAUUAGUUUUGAUUAAUCAAUAAUGUUGUACAAUAGGAGCAGGAAUGCUGGCCAGGCCUCUGGGGGAAUCACCUACGCUUUUCUAAGCAGCACGCUUUGUUAUUUUAAGCAGAACUUUCAGCAGAAUCCUUAAUUAAAUGUUACAGCCAGGAGCUCCUCCACCAGCAAACACCCCACUUCUCAAAGCGCACCAAGCAGCAGGAGUUUAACCAAGACUGAUUUAAAGCUGCAUCUGUAGUUGGUGAGCUUUGCUGACAUGUCGGUGUCAGGGCAUGCUAUUGGGUACCACGUUCAUCAGCGAUGGAGCUGUUUGGCGGAGGGCGCUUUGGUGAGGUUUAGGUGAACCACCCAGCAAGGGACCAGCAGUGCCUGGUUGUGCUGCCUGGGGACAACGAGCCAGAGCUUUUUGGCCUCCAGAAAGGUGGCAGCGGUGGCUGUGGGGCCUUGUCUCAGCCCAGGCAGCUACUGGAGCCAGGGCCUGGACUGGAUUUUGUUUCGAAAUGUAAAUACGGCUGAAAUUUCCCAUGCAUGCUGCAGCUCCUCUGGAACCCAACACAGGCGUGUUCAUGCAGAAGUCAGAGAGGUCUGGUUCAUUUUUAACGUUACCUCCUGGAUUCAGGAGCCUUGAUGAAGCUUUCAGCAGAAAUGGAUCUCCUCCUGGGCGCUCCGGCCUCCAGCGCAUCGAUUCCUGCGGCAUCGACACCUCCUUGGUCAGCAGCCCUGAACUGUGCCAAGAUGUUCCUCUCUGAUCGGUCAGCCCGGCUGCAGGCUUCUUCCUUUGUUUUUUAUUCUUUUUCCCUUCUUUAAUGUAUAAAGAGCUUAAGAGAAUGCAAAGUUUUCAUAAAGACUAGAUCUCAGCCUAGAUAACAGGCACAAUGUUUCAUAGCCCUUAAGCCAUUAAAAGAGAAAGGAAAAGGGACAGGAAGGGUUUCUGGCAUGUCAGGGCCGGGUUUCCAGAACCCGUGCUCACAUCUGGAUGGUUUGUUCCUUGUGGAGUCAACCACUGACUACUUCUUGGCAUCUGAAUAAACGGCAGCACCACAUCACUUCUACCAGACGUCCGAUCCUGGGGACACCUCCCCAACAACAGAGAUGGGAGCACCAGGAGAAAGCUGGGAGCGAAGCGAAGGGCUGUAGCUUGGCUUGAAAGACAUGAACAAAACAGACGUGCAGACUCACACCUGAAGGGUUAUUUUAGUUCUGUGCAAUGGCAGAUGCACCUGCAAACAUCACAGGCAUGGGGCAGGCAGGUUAGUUGAGCUGGAAACAGCAAUGCUUCAUAGAGGUAUGGACAAGGGAAAGCCCUCAGGUCUUGUUUGAGAACUGGUGGUUUGCAGAAGGCAAUGAAGAAAACAUCCGUGCCACUUAAAAACCCAAACACUUCCCAAAGAUCAGUCUUGGAGCCUUUUUUUCCAAAUCCUACCAGAGGGAGGACCAGGAAUGGAAACCUUCUUGCAUGAUAAUUGCCGAUAGCACACCAAAACCCAGCGGGUUUCCUUACCCACUUCUCAACACACAGGCACUAAUAAACUUCCGUGAUAACACUAAUAUUCCUGAUAAUCUCUGUGGGCUCCUUCUCCCAAAAGUGAAUCUUAUUAUCAUCUGCAAACGCGGAGUGAAUUUGUGGGCAUUUAAAGGUGUAGCCUGCAAGUUGUGGCAUUGCUGCCUGCCCACCACCCCUCAUCAGACCCAUUUUCAAAGCACCUGCCAGCCGGGUACAAUAGCACUGAUUGCGCUCUUGGGGUCUGGCAUGGAAAACAAGUGCUGCCAAAUCUACGCAAAUCCAGUUUGGUCCUCCCAGAUAAACAAUACUGAGUGAAAUCAAGUGAAAAGUGCUCUGGGUUCCUCUUCAAGAUCAGAAGAUAUGAUUAUGGGUCUCCUCCUUCACCUGGGCAGUUUAUUGGGCUUGCUUACCUGGCAGCUGUGCAGAGCCCUUUGGGUUCAUCAUUCUCCAUCAUCCCUGUUGCGCACUCAGAGGCAUAAGCUGCACAAACACGUUUCUCUGUGUGGAUGCUAAGGCUGGUGAGGAUAAAUUGAAUAUGUUUCCUGCGAAACAAAAUCCUAGUUGUAUUUUUAAAUAAUUAAUACAGUGUAGAUAACCUAUAAAAUCCAUGGCUUUUCCUUUCCCUAGAAGACAGAAAAACAUAUCAAGAGGGCAAAGGUAUGGGUAUGGUGUGGCUUGUUUGGUUUUUUUUUUAGUUCUUGGUCAAAUGGUUUCACAGAGUACCCCCACUGUCUUCAGGAACAGUAUUUAUGGCAGGUAUUAAUUUGUUCAAUGAGACAAAUUUUAAAAGAAUACAGAGAAAGAAAAAGCUUUUGGUAAGAUAUGGAUCUCUUUCCAGAAAAGCAGUCUUAAUAACAUAUAACAGAUAUUGACUCCGAAAGAAAUCAUUUUUCUAGGUCCAAUUAUGAAGUACCUUAAAUAGUAUUUUUUUCUUAAUUGGAAGAAGGUUUCUGCAGACCUUUUUUCUCAAGCAGACAAUAUUUGGCCUCUUGUGAAUUGCAUCAGAUAAGGCAAACGGAUGAUAUUCAGGUAUUUCUCUGCAGUCCUGUUAUUCCUGCUUUGUUCUACUGAGCUGAAGUCCUAUAUUUCUGAACCCAGGAAGGGCAGAUCUCAGCAGGCUGCCUCCUUUCUCAUCGUCCUGAGCCUGUGGUUCCCACUGACUCUGCUCAAAUGGGUUUUCCCUUUGGUUCCUGUGUUCUGGUUAUUUUGGUGGGAGGUGGCAGCGAUGCCCCCAGGGGCACAGUGCCAGCAGCCCUGGCAGCCGACCCUGGGGCUGCCCCCACGGACCAAACUGCCCUCUGAUUUUGCCAAAACUGAGAGGUUGGGGGGCGAGAUCUUUUCGAAGAACUGUAAUUUUCAGAGCCCUUUUUAUUGCAAAGCCAGGUACACCGCUUCUCAAAAUCAUUAUUCAAAUGUGGCAUAUGUUUUGCUGCAAAUUUUAGGUAGAACUCUUUCCAGUGAUUUCCAAAAUAAACGAGACUUUGCAUAGCACUUUUUUCCAUAUCUAACAUUGCCUUCCCGGCGUUGCAGCCAAGGUUUCCUUUUAAAGGCAUGUGCAUGAGAUUAUGCAAUCGUAGUAUCCGGAUACCCAGAGCAAUUAAAAUAAAUCAGGCUAGGUAUAAUGAAGAUGAGCCAAAGCAUCUGUUUCUCAAGAGGAUUUUAAAUAAAUAAAUAAGUAAAUAAAUGAAACACGAGUUCUACCAUCCCCAGAGGCUUGGAUCCAUGUUGGGUUAGUCCUCAGAGAUUCUUGUACUUCAGAAAUGUGUCCAGUGCUCACAUGAGUAAGGAAAGAAGUUGGAAAGGAGAAGAAAGACUCUCUGGUAUAAGAGAUAUUUGUGUUCCCUAGAAACAGUGGCUGUAUAACCCUGUGUGUUUGGUAGAGCUGGACUUAGAGAUCAAUUCCUUUUCCCUUCUAGUGUUUUAGUUUGACGUGUGCACCUGAAUUGAGAGAAGGAGGAAUGACUUCUGCAUCCUCUGCAAUGUUUACCAGCCAACUCCUGUGUUUAUAAUCUGCGGUUAUUUCAGCCUGACCGCAAGGCCGAUGAAGCAGGAGGUGCAGAAAUGUCCAUGUCCCGCCAACGCCAGUACCGGGGAGCACAGCCCUGGGACAGAGAAGCACUUGCUCUUUGAGCUGCUUGUCCUGCGAGGCAAGAACCAGCCUUCAGGCCAAGGAGCUGAGCGUCAGAUCUAAAGGACUCCUGAAGCGAGAGACCAGUCCCAAAAUCUGCUGAAGUGAACACAGGGCCUCCCAGCAACUUGGAAGGGCUUUGCAUCCCACCCCAGGUGCCCAGCAGGGGCUGGUAUCGCCCUCACGGCUCCAUCUCCCACCCUGCACCCUCCCCGUAAAACUCCUCUGUGCCUUGAAAGCCUGGAAGAGAAAAGCUCGGAGUAGCAAAUGAGCAAGUGAACUCCGGCACCCCAAAGCCAGGCUGGCUUGCCAGCCCCUGCGCCGGCACAGCCCAGCUCGCCGACUGGGUCAGGCUGGGUUUCCUUCCAAGCAUAAAACCAGGCUCGAAGACUCCAAUUGCUUCCUGUCUCCCAGCAUGCCUGACCACAACUAUUUUUAAUUGUAAGGCAUGAAAAUAAAGCUAUUUAAUAAAUUAACGCUUCACAUGCUUUUUGGUUCAAGUCUGGCUGUUUAUUAGGAGCAGCCUUAUUUUGGCUUUUAUGCGUUCAUUUCCAGCUACUGCUCUGUCUGAUCCCCAUCUUAUUUCCUUUGUAAUCUACAGAUCUUUUGUUGUUAUCAUUGCUGUGUUUUAUGGUUUUGCAUUACUUUAUUGACUCGGCAUACUGUAGGCUUCUUUUUUUUUUUUUCCCCUCCCUCCACUGAAAAUAGCCUUUUAUGAGAGGCUUAAGCAAAAGCCUGGAAUGUCCAAAGGAAAGCACAGGAACAUUACAACAUUUUGCACAUUUCUUUUGGCCAGAGAAAGAUACAAAAUAUUCGUACAAAGAGACUUAUCCAGUGCCUGCAGGACAAAAUCCAACUUUUGAUUAUAUGUGGA